AGUCCCGUGACGCAGUGGUUAGCGUGUCGUUCUUAUAUGAAUCUACCUAACUAGAUUGGUAUGAGCCUGUUAGGCAUCGUGUGAUGCGAACGUCGCGGGUUCGAAUCCCGCCGGGACUA